rnacentral:rRNA from 1 species
GAGUUUGAUCGUGGCUCAGAGUGAACGCUGGCGGUAGGCCUAACACAUGCAAGUCGAACGGCAGCACAGAGGAGCUUGCUCCUUGGGUGGCGAGUGGCGGACGGGUGAGGAAUACAUCGGAAUCUACUCUGUCGUGGGGGAUAACGUAGGGAAACUUACGCUAAUACCGCAUACGACCUACGGGUGAAAGCAGGGGAUCUUCGGACCUUGCGCGAUUGAAUGAGCCGAUGUCGGAUUAGCUAGUUGGCGGGUAAAGGCCCACCAAGGCGACGAUCCGUAGCUGGUCUGAGAGGAUGAUCAGCCACACUGGAACUGAGACACGGUCCAGACUCCUACGGGAGGCAGCAGUGGGGAAUAUUGGACAAUGGGCGCAAGCCUGAUCCAGCCAUACCGCGUGGGUGAAGAAGGCCUCGGUUGUAAGACCUUUGUUGGUAAGAAGUACAGCUGGCUAAUACCGGUU